rnacentral:rRNA from 1 species
UACAGAGGUCUCAAGCGUUGUUCGGAUUCAUUGGGCGUAAAGGGCGCGUAGGCGGUUCGUACAGUCAGACGUGAAAUUCCUGGGCUCGACCUGGGGGCUGCGUUUGAUACGUGCGGGCUUGAGUUCGGAAGAGGGUCGUGGAAUUCCCAGUGUAGAGGUGAAAUUCGUAGAUAUUGGGAAGAACACCGGUGGCGAAGGCGGCGACCUGGUCCGAUACUGACGCUGAGGCGCGAAAGCGUGGGGAGCAAACGGG